rnacentral:ncRNA from 2 species
AGAGCCCCGUCGUGCCCGGACCCUGUCGC